rnacentral:lncRNA from 1 species
UGGAGCCCAGGCUUUUGCAGAUCACACCCUCAACAGAGAUCCCCGUGGAUUUUGACUUGUACUUUUGUAGAGGGAACUGUGUGAGGCAGAGAUGAAGGGGCCACAGGAACCGCUCUGUGGGUGAGUGGGCCUGUGAUCAUUCACAUCUAUGCGGCAUCUUGCAUGAAUGUUUAUGGUAAAAUCAUGUGUUUUCUGCAGCCAGCCAUGGGGAGCUUGCCAAAGAAUGUGCAAUAAGGUGUCCUCUGUAUGGGCAUGUCCUAGCCAUCCCUGGUGCUACCAAGAGUGCCCUGACUCCUGUACGUUUUGCCAGUGGAGACCACAGAGCUGAUCUCAGGGUGGUUAGGGUGUGGCCCCAAACACACCUGCAAGCAGUAGAGACGUCUUCCUUGUCGUACAUGAGGACUUUCACACUGAGGGCCCCACUGCACAUGUCAAGGCUACAGUCCUGGCCCUGUACCGGCCAUAUCACUCCUACGAAGGACCCUGUAACAUCUAGGAGAAACUGCUUCAGUGGAAAAGUAUCACCAUUUAUGCUUACCCUCCUGGGCUGUCUGAUUCUAGACCUGCUCAUUAUACUCAGAUCAUUUCACAACUCUUUCUAGGUCAUGUGUAACUGAUAGACUGAUAGAUUUUGUAAAAUCUGUCUUGACUUGUAGAGAAUUGAUUGACUUCCUCCUCCGGAAGUCUGUUUUGUCUCUAUUUGCAUAUAAAUUCGUGAUCUUGAUUUUUUUUUUUUUUUUGCAUUAGGGAUUGAACCCAGUAGUGCUCAACCACUGAGCCACAUCCCCAGUCCUCUUUUUUGUUUUUUGUAUUUUAUUUAGAGACAGAGUCUCUCUGAGUUGCUGAGGGCCUCAUUAAGUAGCUGAGGCUGGCUUUGAACUCAUGAUCCUUCUGCCUCAGCCUCUCAAGCUACUGGGAUUACAGAUAUCCACUACCGCACCCAGCUUGACUAUCUAUAUGAGAGUGAUGGUUUCACUUUUUUCUGGAAAUUAUCUUUUCAGAAAUUAAUCAUGGGGGGAGGCAAAAAUCCUGGAAGGCAUAUACAGAAAAAUGUACUUAUCAUACAAUUAGCGGAGACUCAAGGGCAUGUUCCCUGGGACUUGCUGGGACUCCAGGCAGGCCAGUCCACAGCAACUCUGCUACAGGACUUGGCCCCAACACAUGGGCUCGGGCUAGCAGCUGUGAAAGGUCUGGGCCAGAGUCCAGCCUGCCACAGUUGGCACACCUAGCCCUCUCCUGGCUGCUGCCCCUUCUGAGAAAUAGUAAACUUGAAAUACCCAUCUAGAAGGCCACUCUUUGGCUAUAAGAAUUUCUUCUGGAAUGUGGACAACAAUUGAAGAUCAGCAAACGAUUCAUAUCAGAGGCUGCUUUGGAACAGCCAGUGUUUCCCGUGGUCCCAGGUCCUCACAGGAUAGCUCAGGUGAGAACUCAGUCCAUGUGCACUGGGCUGCUAUCGAUGCUCAAAUGUUGUGACAUCUCUUCCUAAUAAUAGUUCCAUAGGAGCUUGUGAAAAACAAAACCAAGAAAACAAGAGGCAAUUUUUCCUUGGUUGAAUAACUGCUUAUUAAUUUAUUUUCUUGUAAAAUCUAGUUAUCACAGCCGGAGGUGCACACCUUGAAUCCCAGCAGCUUGAGAGGCUGAGGUAGGAGGAUCGCAAGUUCAAAGACAGCCUCAGCAACUCAGCAAGGCCCAGAAGGACUUUGUGAAAUCUCAUCUCAAAGUAAAAAAAUAAAAUGGACUGGGAAUGUGGCUCAGUGGUUAAGUGCCCCUUUAAUUCCUGGUACAAAAAAAAAAAAAGUAUCCCAUUUGUAAUUAUGAAACACUGAGAAUGUUCAGGAAAAUGAAUGCAGGGAACAAUAAAACAGCCACUCAUUUUCAUUUCACCCAGAUUUAAAAGAUACCAUCUUGUCUUGUGGACUUCAAGUCAAAGUUUUUUAAGGAGAUACAAUGUAGCAAGUAUGAUUCCUGCCUGGUAACCACUUGGUUUCUUU